CAGUCCGCAGGCUGGAAGACCCUGGUGAAACCGGCCCCCUGGACAGGACUUGCUGGAGGAGCCUAAGUCGAAACAAAGCAAUCGAGAGCAAGAAAGCAUUCUGGUUGGAUUUUUAUAAAAGUGGACUCUGGUUACCUCAAAGAGAAUUUGAGUCCUGUGCUGAGUGAGGCAUGUGAUGAAAAACAGACUAACCCCACGGAGGCAGGAUCCAGAAGACAGAGAACGGCUGACAUCCGGGAUAUGCUGUCAUGGCUGUGGUCGCAGUGAAUCCAGAAGAGGGGCCGGUGUUGGGGACAGAAGCAGAUGAAGGCUGAGAGCAUGGUCUGUGAGGGGCAUGAGGGGACUCUGACUGGACAUUUCCUGAACCAGCCCCAGAGGGAAUCGUAGCAGGAAGAAGAAAUAUGGUUUACACCUCAGAGGAAGCAGGAGAGUCGCAAGGUGAAGGUUAAGCCGGCGUGGAGUGUCUUGACCCACCCAGCAGGACACAGCACACUCUUCCCACAUGGUGGAGACUGGUGAUUGUGCCUGAGAACCUCGGGCUUGGGUCUGGAUUGGAUGACCCUAGACUUGGGUCAGGAGGCACCCCACGUGUGCAGGUGAGCUGGCUCUCAGGUCCGAGCAGCAGCUAGAGGAACACUGACAGCUUGGCAAGAGAGGACAGAGGUAAGCAGCGCUGGCGAGAUCCCCUUAUUCAGUGCGUGUCGCACGGUACCCGAGUUUCCAGAUCAGAAACACACGACCCGCUCAUCCAGUCAACAAAUCCAAGCGCGUGGUUUUUUGUUCCACACGCUGCAAACUGUCCGAGAUGCUGGGAUGUGACUGUUCUCUUUCCCUUUACCUCCUUGCAACUUGCCCUCGGUACGGAAGCCGAAUUCUACUUGGCUGAACAUUAGUUUUACCGAAGAGGCAUUUGAUUUAGUCAAAACCCAACAAUACACUAAAUGUCCUUGGGUCAGUCUGAGGCUAGAAGAUCAAAACUUGACUUUGUGGUGUGGAAGGUACUUACUGUAUCUUCCCAUCCUGCCCCACUGGCCCAUGAAGAGAAGCUGGUGGGUGUUUCUCAACGGUACCACGACUUCGUAACUGAACCCUAUCCGAUAAAGCUGCGUCCUGAGGGAACCACUGGCCUUUGUAUCUGGAGGAGAAAGGGAAGAGAGCACCGACGGCAUUUCCUGUCCCUUUCCAGGAAAGGAUGCCAUGCUACAGAACCAUUCCAGCAGACUUCUAAGGUCAGUAUCACCCCAUUUACAGAUGAAACUCAGAAAGCCUCAGCAGCUCACGUGCCCCAGGUCUCAGAGAGACGGGGCAGAGCAAGGAUUGAAACCCAAGCCAGUCUGGCCAGAGGACCCACAUGCUUUCUUCCACUCAGCACGCCACCUCACCAUGACUGCCGGGCCACUGCCAGUCACCACAACCACUGUGUUUCCACCACCUACCCGCACUGCUGGGUCACCACCACUCACCGUGUCAGCUGGUCACCACUCCCCACUACCCCCAGGUCACUCUUCCCCACUACUGCCUACCAGUCACUACUGCCUUAUAAUCACGUUGACAGCCACUGGUGGAUUUUGAUCAUCAAGAUUUUCUAG
rnacentral:lncRNA from 1 species